AUGAAAUUGUAUGUUUAAUCAAUAUCAUGCAACCGUUUAUUUUAAGCUGUAGAAGCUGAAAUGUAAAAUCAAGGUAACGUUCUUCAAGGUCAACCACAGCUUUGAAGAAGGCCUUUGCACCCGAAGCAGCAGACCUGGACCGACGGGCAAACAAAGACGCUCCGAUGGCGAGGGACCACAGAUGGGACACGUGAGGGGAGUGACUUGUUUAGUUGACGCCCGUCCAGAUGUGAUGUGAGGAAACCAUCAGCCACCUUUGUGCCUUUGCACCGCUGCAAGAUUUGAACCAGCUUUGUUUACCACCGUGCAACAAAGUCACCGGGAGACUCGGAACCGCUGAACGUUGUUGUCAGUCAUUUUUCUCAACUGAAGUAUAUUCAGCCACUGCGGUUAUUAUUGUACGGUCGCUAGAAAGUGAAACUCCAUGGACAGUUCAC
ensembl:lncRNA